UGGGGAAUUUUGGACAAUGGGCGAAAGCCUGAUCCAGCCAUGCCGCGUGAGUGAAGAAGGCCUUCGGGUUGUAAAGCUCUUUUAGUCGGAAAGAAAGAGUUGCAAUGAAUAAUUGUGAUUUAUGACGGUACCGACAGAAAAAGCACCGGCUAACUACGUGCCAGCAGCCGCGGUAAUACGUAGGGUGCGAGCGUUAAUCGGAAUUACUGGGCGUAAAGGGUGCGCAGGCGGUCUUGCAAGUCAGAUGUGAAAGCCCCGGGCUUAACCUGGGAAUUGCGUUUGAAACUACAAGGCUAGAGUGCAGCAGAGGGGAGUGGAAUUCCAGUGUGUAGCAGUGAAAUGCGUAGAGAUGUGGGAANAACACCGAUGGCGAAGGCAGCUCCCUGGGGUUACACGACUGAC
rnacentral:rRNA from 1 species